GGAAAGACAUGAUCAACAGCUAAACUACAAGUCACUGUAGAUGGCAUUAAGUUUGGUAAAGGUGCUCUUAGGGACGGUGUCUGGGGAGACCCACUGCACAGAAAGGCCUUCUUGGGGAGGUAAAGCCAAAGGCCCAAGACAUGAUAAACAGCCUUCUGGGCUUGCAGAACCAGCUGGGAAGAUGAGGGCACAGACUCAGGAGGAGGAAGAUGAGGGCACAGACUCAGGAGGAGGGUUUGGCAUGUUCCAGAGAGAAGAAAACUCCCAGUACUGCCUAACGGAGAAUGGUCUUCCAACGUUGAUGAGGGCCGAGCUGUACAAAAUCCAUGGACCACACCCUGAGUAGCUCUGAGAUAGAAGACGAAGGAGAAUUGCAAUGAGCUACAGGAGGAGCAUUCCAGAUACUCCUGAAGUGACAAGUACAAAACCAGUUAUAGGAAGGAGCUUGGCAUGGCCUAGGCUGAUGAGUUGAUGGCCGUAGGCAGCGUUCCCAUACAUGGGUAUCUUUUGGCCUACACGGGCUUUUAAAACAAAUUAGAAUUCUGUGCCAGUGUUUUUGCGUGGACUUAUUUCUUUUAAAACUUGGAUUUGAGUUCUUUUGAGGCAAUCUGAAACUAUGGCAUCAUGGACCCAUAUAGGGUAUUUAGUAACCUGGGGCAAAGAAGCAUCUUCCUGCUGGAAAGGGAUGUGUGAGUGCACUGCAGGCAAACCAGUCUUUGACCCCUGUUUUACAAGGUGACACAGGUCAGGGGUCUGGGGCAAAGUGAACAAGGGGAAAGUGGGCAGGAACUGUUUGGAAAGGCAGUUGGGGAUCAGACCCCUCAGGACUGACAAGUGCUAGAAAAGACAUUAGAUAUGAAGAGUUCCAAGUCAAGGAGCAAAUUUGGAUAUUAAGGUCACUUAAGGUCAAUCUUCAGUUAUGUUGAUAGCAGACUGACAGGAGAAUGGCUGGGAGGCUAUUGCUGAAGGCAGGGGAGAGUUGGCAGACUGGACUAAAGAUUGGCAGAGGAAAUGGGGAAUGUGAGACUUAUUUUGUAGGAAAAAUCAGUAAGACUUAAUGAGGGAUUUGAGGUGGGAUUGGGAAAAGAGAAAAAUCAAAGGUGGUAGAAGAUGACAUCCAGGUUUUGGACUGGAUCCACCAGCUGGACCGUGUGGCCAUUUAUGACAAUGGAGGACAAACAGAAGGGGGAGACAAGGAGAUAGUGUUCAGGAAGAACUCCCAGAGCACCAUCUUGGACUGCGUGAACAGUCUGUGAAACUCAGAAAUGAAACUGCAGGUUGCAGUCGGCAAGAGUGUGAAGGUUGGCAAGCAGGCAUUCCUCUCCAGCAGUCUUAGAAAAGUCAGCCCAGUCCCUUCUAAAGAUCACCAGCCCCUGCUCCACACUAUCCCAUCCUCAUCCCCCAACAUCCACUGUAGCAAGUGCAGGAAGCAUUCACUGAGGACGCUCUUUCUAUGAGACAGUCUCUGAUGAAGCAUAAAAGUUGUAAAAAUCCCUACCCUUAUAAAGACCACAGUCUGAGGUGAAAAUUAUAGUUGUUUAAAAAAGAUUUUAUUUAUUUAUCCAUGAGAGACACAGAGAGAGAGACAGAGAGAGGCAGAAACACAGGCAGAGGGAGAAACAGGCUCCAUGCAGGGAGCCCAACGGGAACUCAAUCCUGGGUCUCCAGGAUCACAACCUGGGCUGAAGGCAGGUGCUAAACCGCUGAGCCACCCAGGCUGCCCUGAGGUGAAAAUUAUAGAUUUUUAAUCACAUGCAGUUUUUACUCUGAGCUUUGCAACUCUGCUGACUCCAUCACACUUACAUGGAAACUGCAGGCUGGGAGGGUGGGAACUUGUGUUAGAAGGUGGAGGGGUGUGUGUGAGGGAAAGUGGAGGAUAUGAGGGGAGGUUGGCUCAAUGUCAGCGGAUGGAAUCCAAGGAAUAUGAAUGAGGUAAGGGGACCAGACAUGGGAGGGGGUAAUGACUAGGGAGGCUGGUGAUGAAAGGGUGGCCCGAACACAGUCCUCGAAUGGAUAAACCCUGUAAUUCCACACAUGUCAAUCUUCCUCUCUGGCCUGAGUCUCUUCUCAUCAGUGCAGGGCUUUAGACUGAACAGAUGGUAGGGAAACUGUUGUGGUGGGAUCUAUUAUGGGCCUUGUCUCAAUAUUUCCUAAUAUUAUGAAGUACUAAAUGAUGCAAAUAAUUUCUGCUAUGUAUUGAAAUGAAUUGAGUUUAUUCUUCAGUGGGAGAAGAACAGGCUGGAAUUACACUAAGAAUGGAUUCUACAUGGCUAACAUUAUCAUAAGUAUCUUGAUGAAGGAAAAGUUUGCAAGACCUCUAGACUAGGCCACUUUAAACCUUCUUCCACCUGCAAUCUGUGGUUUUACAGCGUCUGUGUGGAAAACUGGAAGAUACUCAAUAUCUUUCAGAAUUACAGCAAGUUAUUAUUUUUUUUAAAAAAGAUUUUAUUUAUUUAUUCAUGAGAGACACAGGCAGAGGGAGAAGCAGGCUUCCUGCGGGCAGCCCGAUGUGAGACUUGAUCCCUGGACCUGGGAUCAUGCCUUGAGCUGAAGGCAGAUGCUCAAUCACUGAGCCACACAGGCAUCCCGCAAAUUAUUUCUGAAUUAAACCAGAAUAUAAAUAAAAAGUAACACAUGAGAUUACUAUCUUUUACA
rnacentral:lncRNA from 1 species